rnacentral:rRNA from 1 species
CCUACGGGUGGCAGCAGUGAGGAAUAUUGGUCAAUGGCCGCGAGGCUGAACCAGCCAAGUCGCGUGCGGGAAGACGGCCCUACGAGUUGUAAACCUCUUUUGUCGGGGAGCAAAGCGAGUCACGUGUGACUCGUUGAGAGUACCCGAAGAAAAAGCAUCGGCUAACUCCGUGCCAGCAGCCGCGGUAAUACGGAGGAUGCGAGCGUUAUCCGGAUUUAUUGGGUUUAAAGGGUGCGCAGGGGGAGGGGCAAGGCAGUGGUAAAAGUGCGGGGCUCAACCCCGUACUGCCGUUGAAACUUUACGCCUGGAGUGCGGGAGAGGUAUGCGGAAUGCGUGGUGUAGCGGUGAAAUGCAUAGAUAUCAGGAAGAACACCGAUGGCGAAGGCAGCAUACCGGAGCGCAACUGACGCUGAGGCACGAAAGCGUGGGGAGCGAACAGGAUUAGAUACCCGUGUAGUC